GGCGUAAGGAGCUUGUAGGCGGCUUAUCGCGUCUGCUGUGAAAGCCCGGGGCUUAACCCCGGGUCUGCAGUGGGUACGGGCAGGCUAGAGUGUGGUAGGGGAGACUGGAAUUCCUGGUGUAGCGGUGGAAUGCGCAGAUAUCAGGAGGAACACCGAUGGCGAAGGCAGGUCUCUGGGCCAUUACUGACGCUGAGAAGCGAAAGCGUGGGGAGCGAACAGGAUUAGAUACCCUGGUAGUCCACGCCGUAAACGUUGGGCGCUAGGUGUGGGUCCCAUUCCACGGGGUCCGUGCCGCAGCUAACGCAUUAAGCGCCCCGCCUGGGGAGUACGGCCGCAAGGCUAAAACUCAAAGGAAUUGACGGGGGCCCGCACAAGCGGCGGAGCAUGCGGAUUAAUUCGAUGCAACGCGAAGAACCUUACCAAGGCUUGACAUGUACCGGAAACCGUCGGAGACGGGGGCCCCGCAAGGCUGGUACACAGGUGGUGCAUGGUUGUCGUCAGCUCGUGUCGUGAGAUGUUGGGUUAAGUCCCGCAACGAGCGCAACCCUCGUUCUAUGUUGCCAGCGGUUCGGCCGGGGACUCAUAGGAGACUGCCGGGGUCAACUCGGAGGAAGGU
rnacentral:rRNA from 1 species